ensembl:lncRNA
GUGUGUGUUUAGCAUCGUGACAGCGACAGUGCUGGAGGAAGUGAGUGUUUUAUAACCCUGUAAUCAGGAGCUGCUGUCAGGAGAAGAAUCCCACUGUGACUCAUCGUUCUUUGCUCCGUCCGGUUCCUCCACCAGCACACAGAACCUGUGAGUGAGGAGGCGAGGUUCUAAUCGAGGGUCACAGGGGCACCUGGAUCCUAUUCCAGGGAGCAUUGGGCACCAGGCAGGGUACACCCUGGACAGGGUGCCAGUCCAUCGCAGGGCACACUCACACACCCAUUCAUACACUACGGACACUUUAGACACGCCAAUCAGCCUACCAUGCAUGUCUUUGGACUCCAGUGGAAACCAGAGUACCCGGAGGAAACCCCCGCAGCACGGGGAGAGCAUGCAAACUCCGCACACGGCCCCAGCGGGACUCGAACCCUGGACUCUGGAGGUGUGAGGCAAACAUGCUAACCACCGAGCCACCGUGCGCCCACAUAAUGUAAUAUAUAUUAUAAUCUAAUGAUUAUGCAAAUGAAGCCUCAUUAAUCUCAGUAGCUUCAGAUGAUCUAAUUAAAUGCAAACAUUUAGAUCAAGAGAUAAAAACAUAUAAAGCGUUUUAAUUUAUGACUAUAAUGCAAGUGGCUCAGCUGCAGGAUUAAAAUUCACACGUGAGCAGUGCCAAUGUUUUUUUUAAUGUUUUGUUUUCAACUCAUUUGCAUAUGUGAUUAAUUUGUGCUGGAUUUGUGCUCUGCCUCUGUCCCUAUUAUUGUAUUUCUUAAAACACAAACCAUUAAACAUUAGAAUUUAUCAAAUAUUCAAUAUUUUAUUAUCUUUUAUAUUGUUUAUUAACAGCUUUAUUGGACUGUUGUGCAUUCUUGGUAAGAUAAUGCCUCCAGUGAUUUUGCAGCUUGAUCCUCAUCUAAAGAUCGACUUUACUCAAAAUGGCAGCCAAGUGGAUUCAACCAAGGGGAAGU